rnacentral:rRNA from 1 species
UGAGGAAUAUUGGUCAAUGGGCGAGAGCCUGAACCAGCCAAGUAGCGUGCAGGAUGACGGCCCUAUGGGUUGUAAACUGCUUUUAUGUGGGGAUAAAGUGCGUGACGUGUCAUGCAUUGCAGGUACCACAUGAAUAAGGACCGGCUAAUUCCGUGCCAGCAGCCGCGGUAAUACGGAAGGUCCGGGCGUUAUCCGGAUUUAUUGGGUUUAAAGGGAGCGUAGGCUGUCUAUUAAGCGUGUUGUGAAAUUUACCGGCUCAACCGGUGGCUUGCAGCGCGAACUGGUCGACUUGAGUAUGCAGGAAGUAGGCGGAAUUCAUGGUGUAGCGGUGAAAUGCUUAGAUAUCAUGACGAACUCCGAUUGCGAAGGCAGCUUACGGGGGCGCAACUGACGCUAAAGCUCGAAGGUGCGGGUAUCGAACAGG